GGGCCAGGCUGGAUGGUGCUUGGAGCAGCCUGGGAUAGUGGAAUGUGUCCCUGCCCAUGGCAGGGGGUGGCAUGGGAUGAGUAUGAAUGCCCCUCCUAACCCAAAUCAUUCCAUGAUUCUAUGGAAAUGAAUUGAACUCUUGCCAUGGAACGCCUCAGCAGCCCCUGACUGGGUUAUUUUCCUGCACAAGGUCAGAUCCAACAGUGGGCCAAGAGAUGCCAUCACUGAUGUCCAGUUUGUGACCAAGGGAUGGACACACAGGUUUGUGACUUGCCUUGGAAUUCCAGGACAUUUCUCUUUAUUGCUUUCUGUCAGACCAGGAGGGGCUGGCAAUCAGUGGAUUCCCUGUGGCCACAGAGCUCUCCCGGGCCAUCAUUAGGGGUGAUUAUCAGCAAUCACCAUGUCACUGUUCCCAAGGCAGGCUUUGCUGCCUCCUUUCCUCUCCAGCCCCCAACGAGCAGGUGCUGGAGGUCAGGGGGUUUCUGUGGCUCUGUGGUGACAAGGAAUAUCUGGAAGUCUCCAGUAUCAACCAGGGAUUGCACUGCAGGCCUCUCUCUAGUCAAAACCAGCAGCACAGAAACAUUUCCUGGUGCCUUUCGUGCCUCUGCCAGCACUGGCAGCAGGCAGGAGACUUGUGGGACCUGCAGGGCCCUGCUUUGGCUUUCCUGUGGUGGGGAAGGGACAGGUCUCCAUCCCAGUGCCCUGGGAAAUAUGAAAAGCUGUGCCUCCAUUCAGCAAAGUCACAGCUGCCUGAAACAUUCCUCCAGCCCUGCUCUCUGGAUUAAGGAAGGCUGAAAGCUUUUUUUUUCCUUUUUUUUUUUUUUUUUUUUUUUUAAUCAGUUCAAUGUUUUACAGCUCAAAUUCAAAUAGGAGCUUAAGAGCUUAAACAAUGAAACAUAAGGAUGUGCUGGCAGGGCUGGGCUGUCUCCUCUCCUGUUUGCAGCUCUGCUUGGCAUCAGCCUGGGCUGAAAAACACCUGCAUCUGGCCACCACAAGCUGAGCAGCCUUUCCAGGCAUUUCACUGCCUUGUGGAAGGUAGAACAAGUGGGAAUUCAAGUGGGAAUUACUUCAGGAAAGCUGGUGAGGGACUUCUUACAAGGGCCUGGAGUGGCAGGACAAGGGGAACGUCUUUGCACUGCCAGAGGGCAGGGUUAUGUGGGAUAUUGGGAAGAAAUCCUUCCCUGUGAGGGUGGGCAGGCCCUGGCACAGGGUGCCCAGAGAAGCUGUGGCUGCCCCUUGGAUCCCCAGAAGUGUCCAAGCCUUGCCAUCUAUUGCCUCUGGCUUGCUUCCUCAUAGCCAGUCUCCUCCACCCUUGACCACCUCUCCCUCUCCCUCUCCCUCCAUGCCCAGCUUCCCCUCCUUCCACUCCUCAGGGUUACUGUGGGAAGCAUCAGGUGGUGCAAGAAACCAAAGGAAGGCCAAGAGACAGCUCAGGAGGCAGGAAAGGAGCUUUUCCUGCCCCCCACAACCUAUGGAAACACAACUGCCCUGGCUGGGCAGAGAACUGACCAUGUCUGAACUCUGGAUGGAAAUACAAGCAGAAGAAAGGAUGCUGCUCCACUGGAAGGAGGGAGACUCCUCCCAGGCUCCUGGAGCAGAUCCCCAGCUGGUGUAAAUAAAGAAGCACCAGACUGGUUUACACAAGCUGCAGCUGCUGAGAAAUGCUUUUCCCAGCCCUUUUUCCUGAUGGGAUUGGUUUACUUUUCCUAUUUUCCUCCAACUCUGAAUGCCAUCACUAAAAUCCACAUGUUCUGCCCCACCUUGCAGCCCAUUUGGGGAGCAGCAGGGGAGAAAAAUCAGACCUGGAGUCCAUUCAGAGCCAGAAACACCGUGCUGCUCUUCCCAGGGAUAAAGCUGAUCUGUUCUUGCCAGCAUACCCAGUCCCCUCCUCUAGAGCACUCACCAGCAUCCCUUAAAGGCUGGUGGAGCAGCAGCUGAUGGAUGUGCAGAUGGAGCUGGAAGAAGCCUGUUACUCUAAGGGCUGGCUACAGUGACGUGGGGACAGGGCACAGACCUGGGCUGGAACCAGCACCCCAAAUCUCUCUCUUAGCACAGAGGGAUCAUUACUGCUGCUGCUUCCUCUCUUUAUUGUCUGGAUGCUCGCAGUCAUGAGCUCUGGAAUCCUGGACCACGAGAGGACACUUUGCUGAUCACCUGCCUUCAUUAAGAAAACUUAAUUUUAGUGCUGAUGGGAAAUUGGAUUAAAGAAAAUAAACCACCCAAAAACAGCCA